CCAGCUUCUAACUGUUUGAUAUUAUAUUUCUUUGUUAAAACUUGAUGAGGGUUUCUGUUUGAAAAUGAGUUGCUGGGGCUUGGGUAUUAUGUUUAUGUGAUUUGUGGGAUUGAAUGUAGCUGGGAAUUGAUUUGGGCGUGCAUUUGGUAGUGGCCAGUGAAUUGCUAUUUCACAACAUUUAGGGCCAAGAUACGAUUUCAUUAUUGAUUUGUAAUGAUUAGAAUCCAUAGUAAGCUUCAGUCACCAAACUUGUAAUAUGUUUGCUUGCCUUUGAAUUAUUCACCCAAUUAUAAUUUUCUCUAAACGAUGCACAAAUGGGAACAUAUAUGUACAUCGUAAAAACAAUUCAAUUACUCUAAUUAAAGAUCCUAUUUUACUUUGAGAUGUGUGUACAUGGUGACCCUAUUUACUGUAUAGAUGCUGAAAAAUACAGUUCACUUUUGAUGAGUUUGUUUCACUCAUGAAUUUUGCACAACUUUAACUUGAUUAUUCGCUAGAUCUUGUAAGUAUAGAACAUUUUUGAUAUGUUUGUUAGUGUUAUUUUGAAGAUUAGGAAAGGCGAUGCAAAAAGAGGAACUAAAGAAGACAAAGAGAUAAAAAAAUAAGAAAAUUGGAGCAAAAAGACAACGUCUAGACGCUACAAAACUGAAGAAAAACUGAAAUUUGAACCUGAGAGGCACCUAGGCGCUGCAAUCAUAGCGCCCAGGUGCUACCAUCAGCGCUUAGGCGUUGCAGUUAAAUUGACGCGGCACUUAGGCGCUGUCUCCUAGCACUUUGGCGCUACUUCUAGAUCGUCUAGGGCACGUUUUUGGACCGUUUUAAAGUCCAUAAAAACCCUAAUUUCUACACAAAACAGAGGAGGGACCUAUA
rnacentral:lncRNA from 1 species